rnacentral:piRNA from 1 species
CAGAGAACUCUGCCCGUUGUAAUUG